rfam:Strongylocentrotus purpuratus Contig66900_fixed, whole genome shotgun sequence.
AUAACGGUCUUUUUCAAGACCACAAACUUCCAAGAAAGAAUCAGU